rnacentral:lncRNA from 1 species
GAGGAGGAGGAGUGUCCCAAGGGAGGUGAGCUGGAGGCAAAGUAAGCACAGCUUCCUCCCCACUGGUACUAAUUCAUGGAAAUACAUCAUGUUGGUUUUAAAAAAUGGAAGUCUGAAUGCUUGGUGACAGAGCCUGCAGCAAGAGAAGAAAAAAAAAUGUUGCCUGUUCCUCCAAGUUGCAGAAAAACUGGUUUCAAAGAUGAAGAGGUACAGAUGAUUUUAGAAGACAGAGAAGCUUGUGUCAGGAUCACAAAACCUCAGAGUUAGAAAACAUUGAGAAGUCAUCUGGGACCCCUGCUGCGUUGUCCUAGUUUCUUGACAGAUGGUCAUGAAGCAUUGGUUGGAACGGGUCUGGUGGCGAGGGCACAGCCCUGUUGUUCCUUAUUUCUGACAUGCCCUGGGGACGGCCUCCUCCACGGACUACCUCCUCCCAGCCUCCUGAAUCACAUACUGUGUCCUCCAGCUCCAGAGCCUGAAAUUGUCACACUUCCUUACUGGCAGGAGUAUCCUGAGCAAGUGUUUUAGCUUUUCUGUGCCUUAGUGUCCUCAUUGGUGAAAUGGGGAUAAUAAUAGAAAAUGCAUCGUAGGAUUGUUGAGAGAAUUAACUCACAUAACUCAUGUAAAGUGUUCAGAACACUAUAGAAAGCACACGAU